rnacentral:rRNA from 1 species
GACGAACGCUGGCGGCGUGCCUAAUACAUGCAAGUAGAACGCUGAAGAGAGGAGCUUGCUCUUCUUGGAUGAGUUGCGAACGGGUGAGUAACGCGUAGGUAACCUGCCUUGUAGCGGGGGAUAACUAUUGGAAACGAUAGCUAAUACCGCAUAACAAUGGAUGACACAUGUCAUUUAUUUGAAAGGGGCAAUUGCUCCACUACAAGAUGGACCUGCGUUGUAUUAGCUAGUAGGUGAGGUAAUGGCUCACCUAGGCGACGAUACAUAGCCGACCUGAGAGGGUGAUCGGCCACACUGGGACUGAGACACGGCCCAGACUCCUACGGGAGGCAGCGGUAGGGAAUCUUCGGCAAUGGGGGCAACCCUGACCGAGCAACGCCGCGGGAGUGAAGAAGGUUUUCGGAUCGUAAAGCUCUGUUGUAAGUCAAGAACGGGUGUGAGAGUGGAAAGUUCACACUGUGACGGUAGCUUACCAGAAAGGGACGGCUAACUACGUG